AUUUGAACGCAUCCUUAAGCUUCUUCUACAAUGGCAGUAGGAGUAGUAGUAAGAAAUAAGCAAAGACGCUUUAUACACAGAUGGCAAUGGUUCGCGCUUUCGCCAUACGAGGUCUCCAAACGCAACUCAGGAUUUGCCUACGACUCCUGCAAACUCUGCAAAAAAAAUAGAUAGUUGGGACUUGUGAAAGAAAGAAGAAAUGAGUACUAGUGCACAAAUUAGUGCAAGAAUAAUUCUACAAUAGAAAACAAAUCCAAAAAAAGAUCACUG